rnacentral:rRNA from 1 species
GAUGAACGCUAGCUACAGGCUUAACACAUGCAAGUCGAGGGGAAACGAUAUUGGAAGCUUGCUUCCGAUAGGCGUCGACCGGCGCACGGGUGAGUAACGCGUAUCCAACCUGCCCAUCACUUGGGGAUAACCCUUGCGAAAGUAAGACUAAUACCCAAUGACGUCUCUAGAAGACAUCUGAAGGAGAUUAAAGAUUUAUCGGUGAUGGAUGGGGAUGCGUCUGAUUAGCUUGUUGGCGGGGUAACGGCCCACCAAGGCGACGAUCAGUAGGGGUUCUGAGAGGAAGGUCCCCCACAUUGGAACUGAGACACGGUCCAAACUCCUACGGGAGGCAGCAGUGAGGAAUAUUGGUCAAUGGGCGAGAGCCUGAACCAGCCAAGUAGCGUGCAGGAUGACGGCCCUAUGGGUUGUAAAACUGCUUUUAUAAGGGAAUAAAGUGGGAGUCGUGACUCUUUUUGCAUGUACCUUAUGAAUAAGGACCGGCUAAUUCCGUGCCAGCAGCCG